rnacentral:lncRNA from 1 species
GGCGGGCUCGGCUCCCGGAGCGGCGUGAAAAAUUUCCCGAGGCAGAGCGAAAAGUCUUCAUGCGUUACUGAGCAUGUCCGGUGCCCGAAGAGGCGCUUUGGACGCCAAUGAAGCGAGGAGAGGCGGAGAAGGAACCGAGCGGGCAGUUGAGGGAAAUCUCGGAGGAGGUUACCUGCGAUCAAACUGGGGCUGCGUAGUGUUAGGGUCAGGCAGCGUUGAAGUGGAAUCCGGAUCCGCCACUCUCGCUGCGUGAUAUUGGGCAUGCCAUCAAAGCGCUCUCAACCGAACGUCUCGGGUAAAAUGGGAUUAGUGAAGUCUACUAAGGUAGUUGUGAGGAUCAAAAGAGAUAACGCGGAAAACGCCUCACCUGGCACGUUAUAGAUCCUAAAUGCCUAGCUACCACAACCUCCAUAUUUUACAACUGGGAACACGGGACUCAAAGAGAUUAAAAAACUAAAUGACUCACUCAAGGUCAGGUAGUGGUGGAGACCCAGGCUUCAAGUUCAAUACUCUUUGUCCUACGAAGCCUUCCCUUAAGCAGGGGUAACAAAACAUUUCAGAAAAACCACCUUAAAGAGCAUCGCUUGUGAUAUGUGGAUCACUUGGUAGUCCCCACCUCCCUCCCAUCCCCGCAAAGGUUUAGAGCUGGACAUAAGGGCCUUGGUGCAACUUUUGGAGGGCAGUUGUUCAGCUUCUGGAUUUGCAUCUGAACGAGCAAUAAGAAUUUUCUGGGAAGUUAAGAAUUUCCAAUAAAUCUUGGACUACUCUAAAAUGCACCAGAAAUUACAUGGUCACACUCGUGCAAUGAAAGAAGGCUUUGGCAGUAGCAUAAGACAUUAAGCAGAAGUAGGAAAUGCAGUGAGGAAGAAGUUGUAAUGUUUUCAACAGCUGCCACUGUGGAUCUAGGAUGAGAGCUUUCCACAUGUUGUUAAGAAUGAGAGACAGAUUACUCCAAGAACUCAGGAACAAUGAAGGAGGAAGAAUGAAUGAGUUGCGCCCUGAAGAUGGUGGGCUCUCCUUUAUGCAUGAUCAUCACGAUCUCUCUGCAAUGUCUGUCCUGUGACCUCAUGAGGUGUGCAGCGUCAUGCCAGACAUCUGUGUUUGGAUGGCCCUCUGGCUCCUCCACAAUUACUGCAGAGUCAGAAGUGGAAUUUCCGCCUGAUGUUUUAUGUCAAAAUCAGUAUGAAAGACUGCAGCAUGUUGAGUGAGCUUUCCGUUCUCGCUGAGAUGCAAUGCAGGGUCCACCCUCUGCAGGCCACAAUUUUGCCUGGAGGCAAAGCAUUCAGUCUUUCCAUUGGCCUGACAAUUUGAGCCAAGCUUGAGGCCAACAGACAAAAUGCACUAGCAACUAGAGAGGUGAGUUUUGUUAAAUUACAAUAACAUCCAUGCAUCCAGGGGAGCUGCAAAAGUCAUUCCUGUGCCUGCCUGGUGGCCCUCCCUGUGAGAAGGUAUUCUUCCUGCUCCAUUGACAUCAGGCUUAUUAGCCAUGUUUCUGGAUUUGGUCCAUUUUAUAUAAAGAGAACAUGGAGCAGGGCUGCAGCUGAUCUUCAAAGGGCAUGAGCACAAGCCAGAGAGAAGCCGUUAUUGUUGUAAGCCCUGAAGAUUUGGGGGAUAUUAUUGCAACAUAACUCAGCCCAAGCUGACUAAUACAACAAGUUUCUAUGUAUACAUGGAGAUGUAUGUAAUCUUAGCCUCAAACAUUUCUCAGAGGUUUUUCAUCAUGGAUAUUUGAAAAUGCUGAUGUAAAGAGACACAUCUCAAUUUCAAUGCUGUCACAGCCAUAUUGUCCUUCUUUGGAGAGUCUUCGAACUAGAGUAAGCCAUGGAAGCUUGAUAAUAUACAAUGUGGUUGCCUAUGAUGACUCACUGACCUGUCCAGAUUUGUAAUCUGCACAUUUUAAUGUAAAUUGAGUAGUUGAUUUAAAGACAUAAAUUAUUUUAAAAACCAGUAGACUAUAUUACAACAACAACAACAACAACAACAACGACAACCUAGGAUUUCAGCAUUUUCAAACUUCAAAGAAUACUGAAAACUGGCUUAGACUCUUGUUCUGGGGAUGCUCAGCUAUGCAGAGGAGAUGCUGAGAUUUCUGGCAGCCAUCUUGUCUACUACAUAGUUAGACCUUAUAUGGAGAAUGAAGCCAAGGAAAACCAAGAAAGACACAAUCCUGAUAGAUGUCUAGGAGUCCCCAGACCCAAUGUAAAUGGAGCCAAAUUAAGACAAGCAGAGCAGAGAGAUCAGAGGGAGACAUCCCUGAUAAUUCCACUGGAAGUCCAAAUCCAGCCAUGCUUGAAGUUAUUGCAUCCCUGCUUUUCCCAUUUUCCCAGUUUUCUGAGAAAUAAAUUCCCCUUUCCUCUCUUGGUUCUGACUUUAACUAGUUUGAUUUCCGAUUUAAU